AGGCUGUUUCUUUGAGGUUCAUCUUCAUAUCCUUGAAGGGUUGCUUUAUUGUUUAUGAAUUAUACUUUGUUCAUUGGUUUCUCUUAGUGAUAUUGUGUUAUUCCUUUUGUUGUUGCAACUGCCAUCACUACUAGGAAAUUUGUUUGGGUGACCAUCAGUUUAGGUUCUGGGACAUCAGUGUGGGUUGGCCCAGGGAAGGUCAGUGAUGCCAGGUUGUUCAGCAAUUCGUCUCUGUUUGAGACUGGUUAGAGUGAUGCACUCUUCCCUAAUACCACAGAGUGGCUUAUUUUGGAGGAUGCAGAAUGUCUACUACUGCCAUCGUAGAUGAAACCACCCCCUGAAAACCAACAGACAACCACUUUUUUUUUUUGGUUAACAUAAACUAUAAUUUUUUUAUAUGAUGUUGUGGUUCACCCACAAAUGAAAAUCAUGUACUCAAUCUCAAGUUGUUACAUACUAUUUAUGAGUUUCUAUUUUCUGUUGAACAAAAAAUAAAAUAUUUGGAAAAAUGGUGGUAGCCAAGCA